rnacentral:tRNA from 1 species
UCCCUUGUGGCUCAGCUGGUAAAGAAUCCACCUGCAAUGUGGGAGACCUGGGUUUGAUCCCUGGCUUGGGAA